rnacentral:rRNA from 1 species
AUUGAACGCUGGCGGCAUGCCUUACACAUGCAAGUCGAACGGUAACAGGUCUUCGGAUGCUGACGAGUGGCGAACGGGUGAGUAAUACAUCGGAACGUGCUUAGUAGUGGGGGAUAACUACCUGAAAGAGUGGCUAAUACCGCAUGAUAUCUACGGAUGAAAGCAGGGGAUCGAAAGACCUUGUGCUAUGAGAGCGGCCGGUGGCAGAUUAGGUAGUUGGUGGGAUAAAAGCUUACCAAGCCAACGAUCUGUAGCUGGUCUGAGAGGACGAGCAGCCACAAUGAGACUGAGACACGGCCCAGACUCCUACGGGAGGCAGCUGUGGGGAAUUUUGGACAAUGGGCGAAAGCCUGAUCCAGCAAUGCCGCGUGCAGGAUGAAGGCCUUCGGGUUGUAAACUGCUUUUGUACGGAACAGAAAGCCCUGGGUUAAUACCCUGGGGUCAUGACGGUACCGUAAGAAUAAGCACCGGCUAACUACGUGCCAGCCGCCGCCGUAAGAC